CUACAAAUGAAUUGACGGGGCCGCGACAAGCGGUGGAGCAUGUGGUUUAAUUCGACGCAACGCGAAGAACCUUACCAGGGCUUGACAUUCCCUGACCGCGUAUGAAAGUACGUUUCACCUCGGGUGGACAGGGAGACAGGUGGUGCAUGGUUGUCGUCAGCUCGUGUCGUGAGAUGUUGGGUUAAGUCCCGCAACGAGCGCAACCCCUAUCCUCAGUUGCCAUCAUUAAGUUUGGGCACUCUGUGGAGACUGCCGGUGGUCAAACCGGAGGAAGGUGGGGGAUGACGUCAAGUCCUCAUGGCCCUUAUGACCAGGGCUACACACGUGCUACAAUGGCCGGUACAAAGAGUUGCGAUACCGCGAGGUGGAGCUAAUCUCAUAAAGCCGGUCUCAGUUCGGAUUGGAGUCUGCAACUCGACUCCAUGAAGUUGGAAUCGCUAGUAAUCGCGGAUCAGCACGCCCGCGGUCGAAUACGUUCCGGGCCUU
rnacentral:rRNA from 1 species